rnacentral:rRNA from 1 species
GACGAACGCUGGCGGCGUGCUUAACACAUGCAAGUCGAACGGAAAGGCCCUGCUUGCAGGGUACUCUCGUGUCGAACGGGUGAGUAACACGUGGGUGUUCUGCCCUGCUCUUCGGGAUAAGCCUGGGAAACUGGGUCUAAUACCGGAUAGGAGCCCUUCUUCGUGUGAUGGUUGGAAAGUUUUUUCGGUGUAGGAUGGGCUCGCGGCCUAUCAGCUUGUUGGUGGGGUAAUGGCCUACCAAGGCGGCGACGGGUAGCCGGCCUGAGAGGGUGGACGGCCACAUUGGGACUGAGAUACGGCCCAGACUCCUACGGGAGGCAGCAGUGGGGAAUAUUGCACAAUGGGCGGAAGCCUGAUGCAGCGACGCCGCGUGGGGGAUGACGGCCUUCGGGUUGUAAACUCCUUUCGCUAGGGACGAAGCGUUUGUGACGGUACCUAGAAAAGAAGCACCGGCUAACUACGUG